rnacentral:misc_RNA from 1 species
GCUUGAGUCUUCCACUCGCAGUCUAUUACAAAAACUUUGAUAACAUUAGCAAAUGAAUAUUUUCUUCAAGUGUACAGAGAAUUUGGUGUAAUAUGCAAUAGAAUUUUGUACAAGUGAUCAGAAUUUGAUGUUCAGUAAAAGAAAUUUCAAAUUACAACAGAAAUGGAAUUUAUAUAGCCAUCUGCUGCAAUUAUGAGAUUCACUUUUCUAUGACAACAGAUAGGUUAAGAAGCAAGUGCAGAAAAAAUUGUUUUGGGAUUUAUUUAGCCAAUGGAUCUAUUGACCCCAUGCACGAGCAGGCCAUUAAACUUUACACAGAUGAUGUAGAAAUCAAGCCUACUGAUUAUAAAAAUAAGAGCAUAAAGAUUCAAUCAUUCAAAAUAGAAUGUCCAAGAUGAAAUAGACUUUUCUCAAUUACUUUAGGCACAAAUUUAUAUAUUAGCCCUUGUGGUAUGUGACAACCUGGCUCCAAAGGAGGUGAUUACUAUUGGAGAAA